rnacentral:rRNA from 2 species
UACGUAGGGGGCAAGCGUUGUCCGGAUUUAUUGGGCGUAAAGAGCGUGUAGGCGGCCAUACAGGUCCGUUGUGAAAACUGGAGGCUUAACCUCCAGACGUCGAUGGAAACCGUAUGGCUAGAGUCCGGAAGAGGAGAGUGGAAUUCCUGGUGUAGCGGUGAAAUGCGCAGAUAUCAGGAAGAACACCCGUGGCGAAGGCGGCUCUCUGGGACGGUACUGACGCUGAGACGCGAAAGCGUGGGGAGCGAACAGG